GCAGGGCGUCCAGCUCCGCACGCAGCUCCGCGCGCAGCGCCUCGAGCCCCGCGCCCAGUUCGGCGCGCACAGCCGCCAGGCCCUCCUGCAGCCGUCGCUCGCUCACCUCCAGGACCCCAGCCGGGACAUAGAAAGAACAAAAUGAAAAGAUGUUUUUGGAUCCCCAAACUUCUAUGGAUAGAAAGCAGGCUGAGAGAACCGCUGUGAACAGAGGCUAUUUCCUAUGGCAAAGGAAGGAUGACUCAGGACAGAACCCAAGCUGCAGGGAAUCAGUCCCAGGGAACAGGAUUGGACCCUAAUCAAGAAACGACAACAUGUGUUCAGCUGGAUGUUAGAAUCCUUAUGGUCCUCUGGUCACUAUGGUCUUCAGAUCAAGAGAAAUCACAAAGUCAAACCAAGACCUGCACCUGAAGAACGUACCUGCCCCUGUACCUGAUUUGGAUACUGGAUUUAGAUUCUGGAUCUUGAACCUGAGCCCAGUGCCAUAAUAGGAUAAGACUUAAAGGGGGGGAUUUGCAAGGCGGGGUGUGUAUUUUGCAUAUGGGUAGAAUGAAUGUAAAUACUUCGGUCUGAGAGUAAACUGUGGUGGUUUUUAAAAAUGGCUACAGGCUUUCUGACAAACCUCACACUGAGAGGUGGAUUCCAUCAUUCUCUUUGAAUCUAGAAUGGUUCAUGACUGCUUUGACCAAAAGAAUAUGGUGGGAGUGAUGCUAGGUGGCUCCCAAGAUUGAGUCAUAAGAGUCUGUGUGGCUUCUUGGGACACUUGAUCUCUUGCAGGACACUCUCCAGAACCUGGCCACCAUCCUGGGAGGAGCCCACACCACAUGAAGAGACCAUGAUUAGAUUCUCAGGUUGAGAACCCAGACUGAGCCCCAACUUUGAGUCUUCCCACCAAGGUGCCAAUCAUGCCAGUGAUAAAGCCUCCAGAUAAUUCCAACGCUCAACCAUGAAGUCACCUCGAACUAUGACCGUCUACCUGGCUGAGACCUCAGUCUGCUCAUAGUGGAGCAGAGAUGAGCCGCCAGGCGCCAGCUUAAUUCCUGGCUCACAGAAUCCAUGAACACAAGAAAAUGGUAGUUGUUUUACAUCACUGAAUUUGGGGUGGUUUUCUUAUAGCAACAGAACGCCCUCCUGCAGGGGGGUGUAGCCUCUACAUAAGGAGAUAGGAGGAAUUGUUGGGAGCCGUCUUACUGAUAAUCACCCACAGAGCUCUUUGGGGCUCAGGCUAGUUUAAGACAGACACAGUGUACUGUGGGGGUUCAAGAGAGACUUGCACAAUUCAGAGGCAAGAAGUAGAGUCAAGGUGCUUGAGGGCUAGAGCUGAAAAUGGGGGCCUGCAAGAAUUCGGGCUGUAUUAACCUGCUCUUUCUGGCACUGUACAGGUCCUCCUUCUCCAAGUGCCCUCCUUGUGGGAGCCUCUAAUGGGUCCUGGCCCCACAGUCCUCUAGGACCCUCAGUCCAGCUGGGCACACUGGCCGCUCCCAUCAGAAUUCCCAGCCCAUGGAGGAUUAGCUUGGGAACCAGGCCUGGCUGCCUUUGGCUCCCAAAGACAAGGCCAGGCAAGGCGGGGGGGGGGGGCGGUUCCUCUGGCGGGGCAGGCAUUCUAUAGAAGCGCUCUCUAUAUCAGUCAUCUGGAUGGGUGGGGAUAUUUUUGAUCAGGGAGAAAUAAAAAUAGGCAUUGUUGGCUGGUAAUUACUUUUUGGGGCCUUUCCUGCAUGUCUUAGAUAACUAGCCCUUUUGUCCAGUCUUUAUUCCUCCUCCCUUCCUUCCUUCUUUCCUUCCUUCCUUUCUUCUCCCCUCUC